GAUGAAGAACGCAGCGAAAUGCGAUAAGUAGUGUGAAUUGCAGAAUUCAGUGAAUCAUCGAAUCUUUGAACGCACAUUGCGCCCUUUGGUAUUCCUUAGGGCAUGCCUGUUCGAGCGUCAUUUAAACCUUCAAGCUCAGCUUGGUGAUGGGUGACUGUCCUCCCCUCGCGGGGGGACUCGCCUCAAAAACAUUGGCGGCCGGUACAUUGGCUUCGAGCGCAGCAGAAACGCGGUCUCGAGCCCGGUGGAUCGGCUCCCAUAAGUCUAUUCUUUUAUUUUGACCUCGGAUCAGGUAGGGAUACCCGCUGAACUUAAGCAUAUCAAUAAGCGGAGGA
rnacentral:misc_RNA from 1 species